AUCAUGUGAUGAACUAACUAAACCAUCUUUCGACUGAAAAAGUGAUGCUAAAAAGUUGUUACUGAGAUUGAAU
rfam:Drosophila ananassae strain TSC#14024-0371.13 Ctg01_19878, whole genome shotgun sequence.